rnacentral:tRNA from 1 species
GAGAGGUGGCAGAGCGGUUGAAUGCACCGGUCUUGAAAACCGGCAAGGGUUUAUCCCCUUCGUGGGUUCGAAUCCCACCCUCUCC